UAAGUCAUCUAUCCAUUUCUCAUAUUUGAACAUGGAGAGAUUGAUACAAACCAAGAUUUCUUUGGUUUUCUCAUGAUCUAAAGCCACACGCACCAAUGCUCAUUUCUCUCUUUCUAAUCUUGAUACGGGUUGCUUAUAUUCGCAUGUCAUGUUACCAGUUGCUCAUGAAGAAAGAAAAGAUUAGCACCUCCAUUGCCUCAAAAAAGUCCCAUAUUGAUCUGACUCUGAAGACUCCAGGAUCCCGGAAGAGAAAAACUUCUGAAGUUACAAACAUGAACUUGGAAAAUCUUGGAGUCGAGGAUGCACUCCAGAAGUUGGUCUCUUUUUCUUAAGUUGUCUUUGAUCAUGUUUCCACAGACUUGAGGAUUCGAGCUGAAAAGGUUGAACACUCUUUAAGGGUGCAAGAGAAACUGUGGAAGGCGACCAACGAGGAUCCAUUUAAAUGAGUGCAAAUUUUGAGCAAGGAUAAAGCUGAGAAAGAAGAGGAGCAUGAUGUAGAGAUGACGAAGGUGAUCGCCGAAGCGAGGGCCAAUGCUGUCAUGGCUGUUUGGGAGGCCAAGAUCAAGUUUGCCAAAGAUGUAGCCAAUGCAGGAUGUUGGAAUUUGGUUGGGUUGUGUGAAACCUUAGCCAAUUUAAAGGGUGAACUUGCCAACACUAAUGAGGAUACUGAAGGGCAGCAGUCGAAAGACAUUGAGGAGGAGAAGACCCCAUAGAAUGAUGACCAAGCCACAGUCUAGGCAAGAUAAGAAUAUUUUGCAUGACAUUGUACAAGACGAUUUUUGUUUCUUAUGGAAUUGAUGUACAACUUUUUAU